rnacentral:rRNA from 1 species
GAUGAACGCUGGCGGCGUGCCUAAUACAUGCAAGUCGAGCGAACAGACGAGGAGCUUGCUCCUCUGACGUUAGCGGCGGACGGGUGAGUAACACGUGGAUAACCUACCUAUAAGACUGGGAUAACUUCGGGAAACCGGAGCUAAUACCGGAUAAUAUAUUGAACCGCAUGGUUCAAUAGUGAAAGACGGUUUUCCUGUCACUUAUAGAUGGAUCCGCGCCGCAUUAGCUAGUUGGUAAGGUAACGGCUUACCAAGGCGACGAUGCGUAGCCGACCUGAGAGGGUGCUCGGCCACACUGGAACUGACACACGGUCCAGACUACUACGGGAGGCAGCAGUAGGGAAUCUUCCGCAAUGGGCGAAGGCCUGACGGAGCAACGCCGCGUGAGUGAUGAAGCUCUUCGGAUCGUAAAACUCUGUUAUUAGGGAAGAACAAAUGUGUAAGUAACUAUGCACGUCUUGACGGUACCUAAUCAGAAAGCCACGGCUAACUACGUG